rnacentral:sRNA from 1 species
GCUGGAGGCAGUGGUGGGCACCUGUAAUCCUAGCUACUUGGGAGGCUGAGGCAAGAGGAUGGCUAUUUUGAGGCUAGCCUCAAUAACUUAGAAGACCCUGUCUCAA